rnacentral:lncRNA from 1 species
UCCAAUCUUGGCACUCAUGCAGCGUCAAUAAUGCUUCUUUUGGAGAAAUAGCUUCUAAAAUGGCACCCUAGGUUCAUAUCUCCAAAGGAAUGGCAUAAAGUAGGAUGGAAGGGACUCUCUGGACCUCUUAAGGUCCAGAUCUAAGAGUUAUUGCACCUUGGGUUCUCAAAAGCUUCGAAUCCAAGCUAAAGAAGGGGAAAGAAAACCCUAGAUUCAAGUAGAUCACCAUAAACACGAGAUUGAGCAUCAAUCUAUACCUCUAGUAGCCUCCUCCGAUAAAGUGGUAGCAGAUCUGANAUCACCAUAAGAGAUUGAGCAUCAAUCUAUACCUCUAGUAGCCUCCUCCGAUAAAGUGGUAGCAGAUCUG